GGAUGACUUGUGGCUGGGGGUGAAAGGCCAAUCAAACCGGGAGAUAGCUGGUUCUCCCCGAAAGCUAUUUAGGUAGCGCCUCGUGAAUUCAUCUCCGGGGGUAGAGCACUGUUUCGGCAAGGGGGUCAUCCCGACUUACCAACCCGAUGCAAACUGCGAAUACCGGAGAAUGUUAUCACGGGAGACACACGGCGGGUGCUAACGUCCGUCGUGAAGAGGGAAACAACCCAGACCGCCAGCUAAGGUCCCAAAGUCAUGGUUAAGUGGGAAACGAUGUGGGAAGGCCCAGACAGCCAGGAUGUUGGCUUAGAAGCAGCCAUCAUUUAAAGAAAGCGUAAUAGCUCACUGGUCGAGUCGGCCUGCGCGGAAGAUGUAACGGGGCUAAACCAUG
rnacentral:rRNA from 1 species